GAUGAACGCUGGCGGCGUGCCUAAUACAUGCAAGUCGAGCGAACAGACGAGGAGCUUGCUCCUCUGACGUUAGCGGCGGACGGGUGAGUAACACGUGGAUAACCUACCUAUAAGACUGGGAUAACUUCGGGAAACCGGAGCUAAUACCGGAUAAUAUAUUGAACCGCAUGGUUCAAUAGUGAAAGACGGUUUUGCUGUCACUUAUAGAUGGAUCCGCGCCGCAUUAGCUAGUUGGUAAGGUAACGGCUUACCAAGGCAACGAUGCGUAACCGACCUGAGGGGGGGGAUGGCCACCCCUGAACCGGACCCCCGUCCCGGGCCCCGCGGGGGGGCACCGAUGGGUAAUCUUCCCAAAAGGCCGAAACCCUGCAGGAGCAACGCGGGCGGGAGGAAGAAGUUUUCCGGUUCGUAAAACGUCGUUAUUGGGGAAAAAAAAAUUGUCAAGUAACUAUCCCGGUUUGGCGGGAACCUAAACAGAAGCCCCCGCCAACCACGGG
rnacentral:rRNA from 1 species